CCAUGUUUGGUAGUGAAGGGCGACGUCGAGAGAGUAAGAACGAGGUGACACAGUAUGGACUCGAUAUGACUGAGCAACAAUAUCUUGAGCAUUCGAUUCCAUGGAUAGCUGCCAAUGAUGCUGCUUAGCGUGCGUUAUGUCGUUACUGGGCUUCACCUCCACCUAUACCUACAUCUCCAUCUACCGAACAUCAGACCCCUCCAGCUACCUUGCCGACGCAUGAACAAGAGGACGAGUUAGACUUUGUCGAAACCCUCUUCAAUAGUGGAGGUAUCGACCAUCACUCUUCACUGUAACCCGAUGGUGAUUGGCGACCGUGAGCUUCCAUGUUAUUGCGUUCUGAUACUUGAUACUUUUAUUAUGACUAUGUAUGAGAUAUUGUAUUUUAUUAGUACUGGAUGAUGAUAUGUGUCUUAUUAUGACUAUGGAUGAGACUUUUGUGAUGUAAUUGAUGAGACUAUGGAUGAGACUUUUGUGAUGUAAUUGAUGAGACUAUGGAUUUAAAUAUUGUUAUGUGAUUGUGUGUGAGAUGUUUUAUGCGAAAAUAUG